rnacentral:lncRNA from 1 species
GGUAAAGAGAUUGUUCCGGUCGCUGUCGAGGCGCGGGGGUACGAAGGUAAUGGCUGCUUGUGAGUGAUUAUUGUUUGUGGACUUCGUUGUUGUCGUGGUGUACUUAUAAUUGUAUGCUUGACUCACAGAUUUUCAGCAAUCUAUAAAGUCGAUGAGCUCAGAGGAGCUUUUGAACUUGGAGGCUAACCUCGUAAAGAAGGUAUGGCUACUGGUUGAUUUGAUGAUACGUGUGAAGUUCACUAGCUUUGUUGCGUGUGCUGCGACUUGGUCUGAUGUUCUUUGUUUGGAUUUUGCAG